UUCAACUAUUCCGAAUUACUGUUCAUUCAUCCCAAAGAUUUAUGUUUUAAAAUGUGGAAAGAUAAGAAAAUUAUCGGAGAUUGACAAUGUGUAAUUAUAACUGGCAUUAUGUCGAAAUUAGAGAGUCAACAAAACACAAUGUACGUGUUUGUAUGAGUUCAUGCAACACAAUUGAUCGCUGAAUCGGAAAACUUUUUUCUGCACUCGUCCAAAGCAAGUAUUUUCUUUAAAAAGUCAACUAAUGUCAGGAAAAAGAGUUUGGUCUUUGGAUACAUUGAAGAGCUCUUUUUGGACUUAUGUCUGUAUCCGGAGAACGGUAACCAAUGCUCAGCACAGCAGCUUCUGUGCCAUCCUUUUAUCUCUCCAAAUCCCAUGUCGCGCGUCUUAAGCAAUAACAUCACUUCAGAUAAGCUUGACGCUGAAAAAGAUCACGGUAGAAAUGAAAAUGGCUGUGAUGAUGAAGACGAGUCUCCUGAUUUGAUGCCUAUUCCUUUCGUUAACGCUGCGAGAAAUUCAAGAGUUCGAAAUGUAUUUGAGGUGUUGCAAAUGCUUGGAGAAUGGAUGGUUUGCUUCAGUUGUGAAGGUAUGUAAUGAAAUGGACGGCUGUCUCUAUGUGAUCAAAAGAAUUCCUUUGAAUCCGAAAAGGUUCUGUUCGAGAGGAGAAGUUCCUUUCUAGAUUGAAUCAUGAAAAUAUUGUAAGACAGCACUUUCGGAUUCCAAGAUUUAUUAUUCAAUAUUUUUCCCGCCGGCGUUUGUUGAUGGUCAUGAAAUGCUUGCCAAACAGCGUGAGCUGUAGGAUUUUUGGAAUCAAACUUCCAUUUGUAAACAUUGCCUGCAGAAUCUACACCUAGCAAUUCGGUAAGGUCUUCCUGAGCCCACUGUGGUAACCUGCCAAAACAAUAAUGAUCACGAGGACUACACGUUCCAUAUGCAUACCCAAGCACGUCGUUUUCGUUUGAAGGCCACUUGGCGUUUGCAGACCACCACCAGAAAGCCAACCAAUCACCACCAUACAUACAAAGGCUCAUGGGACGUGAGGCAGCAAAAUACAAAACAAGGCCUACAGUUGGACGUGGAGUAUUACAAUUUUCAUCAUAGAGCUCUUCCACACCAAAUCUAUAAAAUGUAGAAAUGACAUUUUUGCAACGUUGAAAAGAAUUUCCCAAAAAUCUUUGUUUGUUCGCCUGUUUGUUUGUUUGUUAGCCUGUUUGUUUGUUUGUUCGCCUGUUGGUUUGUUUAUUUGCUCGCCCGUUUGUUUGUUUCUUUGUUCGCCUGUUUGUUUGUUCUCCUGUUUGUUUGUUUGUUUGAACUGAACAUAACAAAAACUUGCACACCUGUUUAUUGGACCGAAUGAUGUACUAAAGCCAGAAUGACACAUUCCGUGACCCAAACUAAGGGAAGACAGACAGUCGCAGUUAUCGUCGUCAAGUAGUAACGACUUCACUCCCUGUUGCUCACGAUACAUAAAUGAAUCUUGGUCCUGAAAUAAAAAAGAGAAUAGCAUUGCAUAAAUUGAGAUGGAAAGUUUGGAAAUUGACCAAUUUUGUGCUUACUAAAAGUCAAAGAAAUUGACCAAAUAUCAAGCGAUAUUUGGCAGAUACAGGAAAUAUCUUUAGUCCACCACCAGAAUGGUGUCCACUCCAUACCGAAGUCUACGAAAGACAUUUCUGUGCGAUAGUACAAACUGAGUCCAUUUGAAGUUUGAGGCACGCCACAAGUAGGAUCAUACAGCUUAUCGACACCAAGACCCUUUGGAAUGCCAGAGUUACCACCGCACAUUGAUGUACCAAUAUUCAAGGGUUCCAAGGAUGAGAGUUUUUGACAACCCCUACACCAGUCUCUGUAUGAUCAUGAAAUGCUCUCCAGGCUGCAUGAGAGGUGGGAUUUGUUGAGUUAAAAUGCCACAGCUAUGAAAAGGAAAAGUUAAAUCAGAAGAAAGUAACGAAGAAAAAACAAACACAGUAACAACACCAAGACAGAAAGGUUCCAUAAGGAUGUGCAAGAACAUCAGUGGAAGCACUUUUAGGCCAUGUGGCACCAGAUGUAAACCACCAAAAGCCUUUCCAAGAUUUACCAUAUUUGGUGGCAUUUCUUUGUCCACGUGACCUGAAAUACAACGUCAACCCCUUUGAAAUUGAGGGAUAAUGUGUAGUGUCGUUGAGAUAGUCUACUCCCAAUCCUUGCUUAUAUAAAGCAUGUCCCAUGCUCAGGGUGUUGUAAUGGUCACCAUUAUCGUCAUCUAACAACACUGUUUUGUAUCCUUUUGCAUCGCGAUAUAAAAAAGAAUCUUGGUUCAAUUUUGGAGGCUGACCAACCAACGUCUUGGGGUUCCAUGAUUUGGAAUUCUUUAUCUAAGUUAAAAAUAGCAUGUAAUUGCAUAAAAAGAUUUACUAGGUUCAAUUUUAUACAAGCAAGUUUUUUAUUACAAUGAACAGUUCAUAGUAGACAUAGCUUCUACAGAGCCUGUUUUUCCAUCAAUGAAAAUUUGAGACCUCGUGAAAAUAUUUUUUCCGCACGGACCUCCCAUACGGUAAAUAACAUUUAUUUUUUAUUUUUAUUAUGAAAAUUCGCGUUGUAAAAUGGCCGAUGGCCCGAUGCAACUUGAUGCUGAGACUAAAAUUGGAUUGUAUUCUACUACAUCGUAUAGGAACUCCAUCCGAUACAAAAGCAAUCCGGUAUAGUGCAAACGGGGUCUUAGUGCAAGGAUUGAUUAGUGAAAUAUUUUAAUAACGUGCUUUUGAACAUCUCCUUCCAACAAAAUCGAACCAAGUAAUUUAGUUGAUCAUCUUCAACACUUAACUGUUAGCGAAUUGUACAACUAGAGGAAUAAUAGUUACAGACAAUUAGAAGAAAAAUUCUGCCAUUCACUUAUGUGAAAUUAUCACCUCGCCGCUUGUAUGAUCAUGAAAGGCAAGCCAAGCUGCAUGCGCUGUUGGAUUAGAAGAAUCAAAACUCCAUUGAUAGACAGUCCCUCGUGAAUCAAUUGCGAGAAGUUCUGUUUGAUUUUCUUGAGUCCAACUUGGUAGCCUCUGAAAGCAAUAAUGAUCAUAUUUGGAACACGUGCCGUAACAAUCCUGCAGCACGUCUUUCACGUGCACAGGCCAUGGAGCUCCAGGUGUCCACCACCAAAAUGCUUCCCAAUCCCCUCCAAAGUCGGACAGAAAUAUCUUUUUUUCUUGGCGGAAGUACAAAGACAAUCCAAUAGUUGGUCGAGGUCCGUUACAUCCGGGAUCGUAAAGGGCAUCGACUCCAAUCUCUUUUCCAAAUUUACUGUUAUGUCCUGAAAAUAAAUCAAAAUAUUUAAAGUUAUUUUAUGAAAUUAAUGCAAGUUUAAAAAACCAAUCAUUGACAGAAAAAGCGCAUUCUACAUUUGGCUUGUCAGUUGACGUGAAAUGCUAAAACAAAAUGUACAAUAAGAUCUUUUCAUAUUGCAUUUGCUUCGGAAUAUUCUCUUGGCUGUGGUGACGUACGAAGAAUGCACAAAUUUUUCUCUGGCCAUGGCUCGUUUUCGUGCACUUGUUAGUAUCUUGUUUAAUGGAAAUAGUAAUACAUUUUCAUUAACUUUAUAACAUAUUAUCCUUCAACAUAAAACAAAAACAACAAAAAUUUGUUGUGGCUGCCCUUUAUGUGUGUAGAUAGGCGACAGGUAAAAUAAAAUAAUCUAAUAUUCUCCUCCAUCUUGUAAA